rnacentral:rRNA from 1 species
AACGAACGCUGGCGGCGCGCCUAAUACAUGCAAGUCGAACGAGAAGGUGUAGCAAUACACUUGUACAGUGGCGAACGGGUGAGGAAUGCAUGGGCAACCUACCCUCGAGUGGGGAAUAACCAGCCGAAAGGUUGGCUAAUACCGCGUACGCUUCCGGGUCUCCGGAUCCGGAAGGAAAGUCACACCGUGGGUGUGACGCUCAAGGAUGGGCUCAUGUCCUAUCAGCUUGUGGUGAGGUAACGGCUCACCAAGGCAACGACGGGUAGCUGGUCUGAGAGGACGAUCAGCCACACUGGCACUGCGACACGGGCCAGACUCCUACGGGAGGCAGCAGUAAGGAAUAUUGCGCAAUGGGCGAAAGCCUGACGCAGCGACGCCGCGUGGGGGAUGAAGGUCUUCGGAUUGUAAACCCCUUUUAGGAGGGAAAUGGGACGAGCAAUCGUCCGGAUGGUACCUCCAGAAAAGCCACGGCUAACUUCGUGCCAGCCGCCGCGGU